rnacentral:rRNA from 1 species
GCGAAAACUUUACAAUGCUGGCAACAGCGAUAAGGGAACCUCGAGUGCCAGGUUACAAAUCUGGCUGUCGAGAUGCCUAAAAAGCAUUUCAUAGCAAGGGCCGGGCAAGACCGGUGCCAGCCGCCGCGGUAACACCGGCGGCUCGAGUGGUAACCGUUAUUAUUGGGUCUAAAGGGUCUGUAGCCGGCCGGAUAAGUCUCUUGAGAAAUCUGGCAGCUUAACUGUCAGGCUUCCAGGAGAUACUGUCUGGCUCGAGGCCGGGAGAGGUGAGAGGUACUUCAGGGGUAAGGGUGAAAUCUUGUAAUCCUUGAAGGACCACCAGUGGCGAAGGCGUCUCACCAGAACGGACCUGACGGCAAGGGACGAAAGCUAGGGGCACGAACC